rnacentral:rRNA from 1 species
ACACGUAGGGGGCGAGCGUUGUUCGGAAUCAUUGGGCGUAAAGGGCGCGCAGGCGGCGAGGCAAGUCCGGUGUGAAAGUGCUCGGCUCAACCGAGUGAUGCGCUGGAAACUGCCCUGCUUGAGUACAGGAGGGGACGUCGGAAUUCCAGGUGUAGGGGUGAAAUCUGUAGAUAUCUGGAAGAACACCGGUGGCGAAGGCGGACGGCUGGCCAUGCACUGACGCUGAGGCGCGAAGGGGCGGGGAGCGAACAGGUUUAGAUACCCUGGUAGUCCGCACAGUAGACGAUGUGCACCAGGUGGCGGGGGGUAGCCCUCGGUACCGAAGCCACCGCAUUAAGUACACCGCCUGGGGAGUAUGCUCGCAAGGGUGAAACUCAAAGGAAUUGACGGGG